rnacentral:rRNA from 5 species
UUAAGUGACUAAGCGUACACGGUGGAUGCCUUGGCAGUCAGAGGCGAUGAAAGACGUAGUAACUUGCGAUAAGCCCAGAUUAGGUAGUAACAACCAUUUGAGUCUGGGAUUUCUGAAUGGGGAAACCCACGUGCAUAAGCACGUAUCCUUACCUGAAUACAUAGGGUAAGGAGGCGAACCGGGGGAACUGAAACAUCUAAGUACCCCGAGGAAAAGAAAUCAACCGAGAUUCCGAAAGUAGCGGCGAGCGAAAUUGGACUAGCCCUUAAGCUUUACACGCGUUAGACGAACGGUCUGGAAAGUCCGACGAUACAGGGUGAUAGUCCCGUAGUUGACGACGUGUGUUCAGUGAAAUCGAGUAGGGCGGGACACGUGAUAUCCUGUCUGAAUAUGGGGGGACCAUCCUCCAAGGCUAAAUACUACUGACUGACCGAUAGUGAACCAGUACCGUGAGGGAAAGGCGAAAAGAACCCCUGUGAGGGGAGUGAAAUAGAACCUGAAACCGUGUACGUACAAGCAGUAGGAGCAGGCUUUGUCCUGUGACUGCGUACCUUUUGUAUAAUGGGUCAGCGACUUAUAUUCAGUGGCAAGGUUAACCAUCUAGGGGAGCCGUAGGGAAACCGAGUCUUAACUGGGCGUUCAGUCUCUGGAUAUAGACCCGAAACCAGGUGAUCUAGCCAUGGGCAGGUUGAAGGUUGAGUAACAUCAACUGGAGGACCGAACCGACUAAUGUUGAAAAAUUAGCGGAUGACUUGUGGCUAGGGGUGAAAGGCCAAUCAAACCUGGAGAUAGCUGGUUCUCCCCGAAAGCUAUUUAGGUAGCGCCUCGGACGAAUACUACUGGGGGUAGAGCACUGUUAAGGCUAGGGGGUCAUCCCGACUUACCAACCCUUUGCAAACUCCGAAUACCAGUAAGUACUAUCCGGGAGACACACGGCGGGUGCUAACGUCCGUCGUGGAGAGGGAAACAACCCAGACCGCCAGCUAAGGUCCCAAAUUACUACUAAGUGGGAAACGAUGUGGGAAGGCUCAGACAGCCAGGAUGUUGGCUUAGAAGCAGCCAUCAUUUAAAGAAAGCGUAAUAGCUCACUGGUCGAGUCGGCCUGCGCGGAAGAUGUAACGGGGCUAAGUAGUAAACCGAAGCUGCGGCAAUGUGCUUUUGCACAUUGGGUAGGGGAGCGUUCUGUAAGCGGUUGAAGGUGUGUGGUAACGCAUGCUGGACGUAUCAGAAGUGCGAAUGCUGACAUGAGUAACGAUAAAGGGGGUGAAAAACCUCCUCGCCGGAAGACCAAGGGUUCCUGUCCAACGUUAAUCGGGGCAGGGUAAGUCGACCCCUAAGGCGAGGCCGAAAGGCGUAGUCGAUGGGAAACGGGUUAAUAUUCCCGUACUUCUUACAAUUGCGAUGGGGGGACGGAGAAGGCUAGGUGGGCCUGGCGACGGUUGUCCAGGUUCAAGUGCGUAGGCUUAAGAGUUAGGUAAAUCCGGCUCUUUUUAAGGCUGAGACACGACGUCGAGCAUCUACGGAUGUGAAGUCAUUGAUGCCAUGCUUCCAGGAAAAGCCUCUAAGCUUCAGAUUGUAAGGAAUCGUACCCCAAACCGACACAGGUGGUCGGGUAGAGAAUACCAAGGCGCUUGAGAGAACUCGGGUGAAGGAACUAGGCAAAAUGGUACCGUAACUUCGGGAGAAGGUACGCUCUCGACGGUGAAGUCCCUCGCGGAUGGAGCUAUUGAGAGUCGCAGAUACCAGGUGGCUGCAACUGUUUAUUAAAAACACAGCACUGUGCAAAAUCGUAAGAUGACGUAUACGGUGUGACGCCUGCCCGGUGCCGGAAGGUUAAUUGAUGGGGUUAGACUUCGGUCGAAGCUCUUGAUCGAAGCCCCGGUAAACGGCGGCCGUAACUAUAACGGUCCUAAGGUAGCGAAAUUCCUUGUCGGGUAAGUUCCGACCUGCACGAAUGGCGUAAUGAUGGCCACGCUGUCUCCACCCGAGACUCAGUGAAAUUGAAAUCGCUGUGAAGAUGCAGUGUACCCGCGGCUAGACGGAAAGACCCCGUGAACCUUUACUACAGCUUGGCACUGAACAUUGACCCUACAUGUGUAGGAUAGGUGGGAGGCUUUGAAGCACGUACGCCAGUAUGUGUGGAGCCGUCCUUGAAAUACCACCCUUGUAGUGUUGAUGUUCUAACGUCGACCCCUUAUCGGGGUUGCGGACAGUGCCUGGUGGGUAGUUUGACUGGGGCGGUCUCCUCCCAAAGAGUAACGGAGGAGCACGAAGGUGGGCUAAUCACGGUUGGACAUCGUGAGGUUAGUGCAAUGGCAUAAGCCCGCUUGACUGCGAGAAUGACAAUUCGAGCAGGUGCGAAAGCAGGUCAUAGUGAUCCGGUGGUUCUGAAUGGAAGGGCCAUCGCUCAACGGAUAAAAGGUACUCCGGGGAUAACAGGCUGAUACCGCCCAAGAGUUCAUAUCGACGGCGGUGUUUGGCACCUCGAUGUCGGCUCAUCACAUCCUGGGGCUGAAGUCGGUCCCAAGGGUAUGGCUGUUCGCCAUUUAAAGUGGUACGCGAGCUGGGUUUAGAACGUCGUGAGACAGUUCGGUCCCUAUCUGCCGUGGGCGUUGGAAGAUUGAAGGGGGCUGCUCCUAGUACGAGAGGACCGGAGUGGACGAACCUCUGGUGUUCGGGUUGUGUCGCCAGACGCAUUGCCCGGUAGCUAAGUUCGGAAUCGAUAACCGCUGAAAGCAUCUAAGCGGGAAGCGAGCCCUGAGAUGAGUCUUCCCUGAUACUUUAAGUAUCCUAAAGGGUUGUCGGAGACUACGACGUUGAUAGGUCAGGUGUGUAAGUGCUGUGAGGCAUUGAGCUAACUGAUACUAAUUGCCCGUGAGGCUUAACCAU